UACGAGGGGGGCAAGUGUUGUUCGGAAUUACUGGGCGUAAAGGGAGCGUAGGCGGGCUCUUAAGUUGGAUGUUUAAAACCGGGGCCUAACCCCGGCGUGGCAUCCAAAACUGGGAGUCUUGAAUGGGACAGAGGCCAGUGGAAUUAGAGGUGUAGCGGUGAAAUUCGUAGAUAUUCGGAAGAACACCAGUGGCGAAGGCGACUUACUGGACACAUAUUGACGCUGAGGUGCGAAAGCGUGGGGAGCAAACAGG
rnacentral:rRNA from 1 species